CAAGUCGAACGCGAAAGAGGGGGCAACCCCUCGAGUAGAGUGGCGAACGGGUGAGUAACGCGUGAGAAACCUGCCCAGAAGUGGGGGAUAACACUCCUAACGGGGUGCUAAUACCGCAUGCGGUGGAUGAGUCGCAUGGCUCGAUCACCAAAGGUGGCCUCUGUUUACAAGCUAUCGCUUCUGGAUGGUCUCGCGUCCGAUUAGCUAGUUGGCGGGGUAAUGGCCCACCAAGGCGACGAUCGGUAGCUGGUCUGAGAGGAUGGUCAGCCACACUGGGACUGAGAUACGGCCCAGACUCCUACGGGAGGCAGCAGUCGAGAGGCUUCGGCAAUGGGGGAAACCCUGACCGAGCGACGCCGCGUGGGGGAUGACGGCCCUUGGGUUGUAAACCCCUUUCGACCGGGAAGAAUGUUCGCGGGAAUAAUAAGCUCGCGAAUUGACGGUACCGGUAGAAGAAGCUCCGGCUAACUCCGUGCCAGCAGCCGCGGUAAUACGGGGGGAGCAAACGUUGUUCGGAAUCACUGGGCGUAAAGGGCGUGUAGGCGGUUCGGUAAGUGGAAUGUGAAAUCCCCCGGCUUACCCGGGGAACUGCAUCCCAUACUGCUGGACUUGAGUGCGGGAGAGGAUGGAGGAAUUCCUGGUGUAGCGGUGAAAUGCGUAGAUAUCAGGAGGAACACCUGUGGCGAAGGCGUCCAUCUGGCCCGUUACUGACGCUGAGGCGCGAAAGCUAGGGGAGCAAACGGGAUUAGAUACCCCGGUAGUCCUAGCCGUAAACGGUGGGCACUAGGUGUUGGAGGCAUUGACCCCUCCAGUGCCGCAGCUAACGCAUUAAGUGCCCCGCCUGGGGAGUACGACCGCAAGGUUGAAACUCAAAGGAAUUGACGGGGGCCCCCACAAGCGGUGGA
rnacentral:rRNA from 1 species